AAUUAAUUAAUUAAUUUUUGGCUAUAUUAGUUGGUCAAAAAAUUAAAUCCCAAUAAUAUAUCAAAAAAAAGUUGAUGAGGUGGACCGUGGGGGAUGUAUAUGAAAUUGGUCCGCCAGAUGCACUGAAUUUAAUAAAUAAAUAAAUAAAUUAAUUAAUUAAAAAAAUGUAUGAAUUGAAAUAUUAUUGAGGGAGACCAGCUUUUUAGAUGUAAUAAUCAAUAAAAAUAAAAAAUAAAAAUUUAAUUUUAUUAGCAUCAGCAAACAGAGGUUGCUUACUCACCCACCUUUUGUCUGUGGGUCGCUUCACCUGGAUCCAUCAUCCUCUACGCAACAACCACAUGUCCAAAACUCCACGUAAUAUUAGCUCAAGUGGACACCACGUAAUAUUAACUCCAACCAUUUGAGCGUAGAAACUUCUUCUUAGUAGAUGCGUUUUAAAAUUAUGGGACUGACAGCGAUAAGUAACUAACUACAGCGGAUAAUAUCUAGGAGCGGUGAAGAUGUAGAGUAUCGAUGAGUGGAGUGAACGAGUUUUGGGUCGAAUCGCUUGGAUCGAAAAACUGUGUGUAACCUUUCAGUCCAUGAGUUGGUUCCCUCACUUUGUUUGUGAAUUGUGUUGAAUUGGAAGGGGGGGGGGCCUGGAUGAGGCAGAAAAGAAGCAAAACCAAGUAUAGGUUUCCCCAUAUUCUGAAAUGAAUUAAUGGGUAUUGGUACUUUUAAGAGAAUAUGAUUUGUGAGUGAAGCAUUUCCACCACAUACACACCCAAUUCUUCCUUAUUAUUAUAUUCUUCAUACCUCAACACACGUUCUCUGACACACCGUCUAAUGUCUGGUUAUGAUACCAUUUGUAACAACUCAAGCGUUCUCACUAACACACCACUUAGUGUCUGGCUCUGAUACUAUUUGUAACAACUCAAGUCUAUACUAUCUGUUAUUAUCCGCUUUGACCCGUUACGUAUCGUCAUCAGUCUCAUAGUUUUAAAACAUGUUUGCUAGGGAGAGAGAUUUCCACACUUUUAUAAAUAAUGUUUCGUUCUCCUCAUUACUCAAUGUGGGAUCUCACAAAAAGUUUUCAAAAUAAUUUUUCUUAUCUCCUCGUAUAUUGUUCUGGGCCCAACCUGUUCUCCUGGAAAUCAAAAGCUUUUUUGGGAGAUGAAACUGACGUGACAAACAAAAGCUACAAAUUACUCACUACCAAUAUAUGAUCGCGGUCAGUUUCAUGAUUUUUAAAAUGCGUUUACAAGAGAAAUGGUCUAAUCCUACUCUGAUUAGUGUCUUGCAUCAUCUUAGCUUUGAUACCGUUAGUAGAUAUUAUUUAUUUUGUCAGUUACGUGUCAUCGUCAGCUCUGGAACCGAUGUGGAAUGAUGUAUGGAUGUGGUAAAAAAGUAGCAGUUUGUAAAUUGUGUUCUUCCGAAAAUGUUGGGCCAGUGAACUGACUGAUCUUCUUUCCUUUCCUUUCGUUUUAUUUUUUAUUUUGAAAAUUGAAUUAUUUAAUGGAGCUAUAAAACCUAAACUCAUUAAUUAUUUAAUGGCUGCCCUUCUAUAUCUGUGUAUGUACACAUUGGAGUAAAUAGGCAAUACUUGUAAGAUUUUCUUCUCGUCCUUUCCAUAAAUUUCUGCACAUCUAUAAAGUUGCUAUCCAUUUUUAACCUCUACAAAAUAUAUAUAUAUAUAUAUAUAUAUAUAUACACACGCACACAUGCACAUGUCAAUGUCGAUAUAAUUAAAUUGCAUUCGGAGUGAAUAGAAAGAUCAAACGCUAGAGUUUCAAGAUGAUAUUAAUCUUUGAUUACAAUAGAAUGGUUGGUAGUGUACUGAAGACAUUUUUUUACAAUAUUUGGAGCAUGAACAAAAUAAUAUAUAUUUUAACUAGUUGAGCUAUGCUUAAAUUGACAUUGAUAAUAAAAAAAAGUUUAAUUAGUUGAGGCAAAGUCAAAGAGAAAACAAACACAUUAGAGAGGUGGAGAUGCCUGACCACUAAUCUAUAUUGAAGCGGAAGUUCCCGUUAUUUUCAUUAUGAUAUGUUUUCUGAACAUUUUUUCUUUAUGUACUUUAAAAAUAUGUAAGAGUGGAGAUUCAAAUAUUUAGGCUAGAGUUAGCUUGAUGAAUAUGUAGACUUUAACAGUAACAGUUCGAAGUUACUUUGGCCCUCGAGUGCAAAGGCAGAAGGGAGCUUGACUGCAAGAUCCACCCGUCGAGCAGGGACGAAAGUCGGCCUUAGUGAUCCGACGGUGUCGAGUGGAAGGGCCGUCACUCAACGGAUAAAAGUUACUUUAGGGAUAACAGGCUGAUCUUCCCCAAGAGCUCACAUCGACGGGAAGGUUUGGCACCUCGAUGUCGGCUCUUCGCCACCUGGGGCUGUAGUAUGUUCCAAGGGUUGGGCUGUUCGCCCAUUAAAGCGGUACGUGAGUUGGGUUCAAAACGUCGUGAGACAGUUCGGUCCAUAUCCAGUGUGGGCGUUAGAGCAUUGAGAGUACCUUUCCCUAGUACAAGAGGACCAGGAAGGACGCACCUCUUAUGUACCAGUUAUCGUGCCCAAGGUAAACGCUAGGUAGUCAAGUGUAGAGCGGAUAACUGGUGAAAGCAUCUAAGUAGUAAGUCCACCCCAAGAUGAGUGCUCUCCUAUUCCGACUUCUCCAGAGCCUCCAGUAGCACAGCCGAGACAGCGAUGGGUUUUCUGCCUCUGCAGGGAUGGAGCGACAGAAGUUCUGAGAAUUCAAGGGAAGAUCACGGCGAGAUGAGCCGUUUAUCAUCACGAUAGGUGUCAAGUGGAAGUGGAGUGAUGUAUGCAGCUGAGGCAUCCUAACGGACCAGUAGACUUGAAC
rnacentral:rRNA from 1 species